rnacentral:rRNA from 1 species
GUGGGGAAUAUUGGACAAUGGGCGCAAGCCUGAUCCAGCCAUGUCGCGUGAGUGAUGAAGGCCUUAGGGUUGUAAAGCUCUUUCACCGGUGAAGAUAAUGACGGUAACCGGAGAAGAAGCCCCGGCUAACUUCGUGCCAGCAGCCGCGGUAAUACGAAGGGGGCUAGCGUUGUUCGGAAUUACUGGGCGUAAAGCGCACGUAGGCUGAUAUUUAAGUCAGGGGUGAAAUCCCGGGGCUCAACCCCGGAACUGCCUUUGAUACUGGGUAUCUUGAGUAUGGAAGAGGUCAGUGGAAUUGCGAGUGUAGAGGUGAAAUUCGUAGAUAUUCGCAGGAACACCAGUGGCGAAGGCGGCUGACUGGUCCAUUACUGACGCUGAGGUGCGAAAGCGUGGGGAGCAAACAGGAUUAGAAACCCCUGUAGUCC